rnacentral:rRNA from 1 species
UCCGUGGUACUAAGUUAGCGAAAAGUAGGGCGGGGCACGUGAAACCUUGUCUGAACAUGGGGGGACCAUCCUCCAAGGCUAAAUACUCGUGAUCGACCGAUAGUGAACUAGUACCGUGAGGGAAAGGCGAAAAGAACCCCGGGAGGGGAGUGAAAUAGAUCCUGAAACCGCAUGCAUACAAACAGUGGGAGCCGACUUGUUCGGUGACUGCGUACCUUUUGUAUAAUGGGUCAGCGACUUACGUUGUGUUGCGAGCUUAACCGAAUAGGGGAGGCGUAGCGAAAGCGAGUCUGAUAAGGGCGUUUAGUAGCACGGCGUAGACCCGAAACCGGAUGAUCUAUCCAUGGCCAGGAUGAAGGUGCCGUAACAGGUACUGGAGGUCCGAACCCACUAAUGUUGAAAAAUUAGGGGAUGAGCUGUGGAUAGGGGUGAAAGGCUAAACAAAUCCGGAAAUAGCUGGUUCUCCCCGAAAACUAUUUAGGUAGUGCGUCUUAUAUCACUGACGGGGGUAAAGCACUGUUAUGGCUAGGGGGUCAUCGCGACUUACCAAACCAUGGCAAACUCUGAAUACCGUCAAGUGCGAGUAAGGCAGACAGACAGUGGGUGCUAACGUCCAUUGUCAAGAGGGAAACAACCCAGACCGCCAGCUAAGGUCCCCAAGACACAGUUAAGUGGGAAACGAAGUGGGAAGGCAUAGACAGCUAGGAGGUUGGCUUAGAAGCAGCCAUCCUUUAAAGAAAGCGUAAUAGCUCACUAGUCGAGUCGUCCUGCGCGGAAGAUGUAACGGGGCUCAAACUGUGCACCGAAGCUGCGGAUAUCGAAAGAUAUGGUAGGGGAGCGUUCUGUAGGUCUGUGAAGGUGUCUUGUAAAGGAUGCUGGAGAUAUCAGAAGUGCGAAUGCUGACAUGAGUAGCGAUAAAGGGAGUGAAAAGCUCCCUCGCCGAAAGCCCAAGGUUUCCUACGCAACGUUCAUCGGCGUAGGGUGAGUCGGCCCCUAAGGCGAGGCAGAAAUGCGUAGUCGAUGGGAAACAGGUCAAUAUUCCUGUACCGA